GGGAGUUUGGCCGAGUGGUUAAGGCGCCGUGUUUAGGUAAUCUCCAGGAUUUAUCCUGGCCUACCGUAAACCCGCGGUGGGAAACCGCGCAGGUUCGAAUCCUGCAGCUCUCA
rnacentral:tRNA from 2 species